rnacentral:rRNA from 1 species
AAAUUGAAGAGUUUGAUCAUGGCUCAGAUUGAACGCUGGCGGCAGGCCUAACACAUGCAAGUCGAACGGUAACAGGAAGCAGCUUGCUGCUUCGCUGACGAGUGGCGGACGGGUGAGUAAUGUCUGGGAAACUGCCUGAUGGAGGGGGAUAACUACUGGAAACGGUAGCUAAUACCGCAUAACGUCGCAAGACCAAAGAGGGGGACCUUCGGGCCUCUUGCCAUCGGAUGUGCCCAGAUGGGAUUAGCUAGUAGGUGGGGUAACGGCUCACCUAGGCGACGAUCCCUAGCUGGUCUGAGAGGAUGACCAGCCACACUGGAACUGAGACACGGUCCAGACUCCUACGGGAGGCAGCAGUGGGGAAUAUUGCACAAUGGGCGCAAGCCUGAUGCAGCCAUGCCGCGUGUAUGAAGAAGGCCUUCGGGUUGUAAAGU